CUCCCCUUUUCCCUCGCGGAGAGACUGGGGGGCAGCGCAAAAAGCCCUUCCGAGCUCGGGAGUACCCGUGUCGACUGAGGGAGCCCCCGCCCUUAGCGGCACCCACGACUCUUAGCCUCUGGUACUGAGUCGGACUGAAGGCGGGAGUCCUAGCUGAAAGGAGCCGUCGAAACGCCUCCCGACCUAACCCCGUACACCAAACACGAGUAAAUGAGGCACGGACUGGUGUCUGCAGCACACCCCUCGGUAGAAGCAAAUCUGAGGAAGGAAUUCUGGGGUGAUUAUUGCUGCUUCUACUUUCUGAAGUGAGAUAGAUUGUAAAGCAGGUACAUCAAAGGCAGACGUCUCUAGAGUGCCAAAGAAGAAUGUAAAGCUGACUCUUUGGAAAACAGCCUGGGAUGAGAGCUGAGAGAUCAGGGCUGAAGCGGCUGUUCCAUGAAACACGCAUUGCUUUCAUCCGUGCUACUGCUGUCAGGACUACCUGCAGGUUGUUCUUCACUCUGAGCUCUGCCACCCUUCUCCCCACAG
ensembl:lncRNA